rnacentral:rRNA from 1 species
ACGCUGGCGGCAGGCCUAACACAUGCAAGUCGAGCGGUAGAGAGAAGCUUGCUUCUCUUGAGAGCGGCGGACGGGUGAGUAAUGCCUAGGAAUCUGCCUGGUAGUGGGGGAUAACGUCCGGAAACGGACGCUAAUACCGCAUACGUCCUACGGGAGAAAGCAGGGGACCUUCGGGCCUUGCGCUAUCAGAUGAGCCUAGGUCGGAUUAGCUAGUUGGUGGGGUAAUGGCUCACCAAGGCGACGAUCCGUAACUGGUCUGAGAGGAUGAUCAGUCACACUGGAACUGAGACACGGUCCAGACUCCUACGGGAGGCAGCAGUGGGGAAUAUUGGACAAUGGGCGAAAGCCUGAUCCAGCCAUGCCGCGUGUGUGAAGAAGGUCUUCGGAUUGUAAAGCACUUUAAGUUGGGAGGAAGGGCAGUAAAUUAAUACUUUGCUGUUUUGACGUUACCGACAGAAUAAGCACCGGCUAACUCUGUGCCAGCAGCCGCGGUAAUACAGAGGGUGCAAGCGUUAAUCGGAAUUACUGGGCGUGAAGCGCGCGUAGGUGGUUCGUUAAGUUGGAUGUGAAAUCCCCGGGCUCAACCUGGGAACUGCAUUCAAAACUGACGAGCUAGAGUAUGGUAGAGGGUGGUGGAAUUUCCUGUGUAGCGGUGAAAUGCGUAGAUAUAGGAAGGAACACCAGUGGCGAAGGCGACCACCUGGACUGAUACUGACACUGAGGUGCGAAAGCGUGGGGAGCAAAC